UUAUGUCACGUUAAUUUAUAUAAGAUAAAUUUAUACAAAAAUUUAUAAUUAUACCAUUAUUCAAUAUAAUAUUCGGCCCAUUUGGAUAAGCCAAUUUGACAAUUAAGCAGUUGCCUAGUUGGUGCAGUGGCAGGUGGGCUGCCACUUGGGCUUUAAGGAGCUGGUGUGGUGCAUGCAUGUUCGUGCAUGUGGGCUCCACUUCUCUGACGUUGUGCCUGGCCAUGUCGUGCUCGAAAACUGCAUGCAAUUGACUUGAAGAAAAGCAAAGUAACCAAAUAUUAAUGACAUUGAAUUAUUUUAGGAUAACCCAGUUUGAUUUUGCUCUUGCUCUUGCCGUGAAAGGGGAACGAAUUAAUUUUUAUUGAAUGUGAAAGAUUUAGGAGACGAUCCCAUCAAGUCAUCAUGCCGGUAUGGUAAGUGGGAUUGUCUAAGUGACACUUGUAAUAUUUGUAAAAUUAUAAUGUAAUAUUAAAGAUAAAAUAACCAAUGUAUU
rnacentral:lncRNA from 1 species